rnacentral:rRNA from 1 species
AGCAGCCGCGGUAAUUCCAGCUCCAAUAGCGUAUAUUAAAGUUGUUGCAGUUAAAAAGCUCGUAGUUGAAUUUCAGGCCUGGCUGGACGGUCCGCCUUUUGGGGUGAGUACUGUCUGUGGUCGGGUCCUACCUUCUGGCGAAGCGUCAUGGCCUUAACCGGCCGUGGCGGGGAACCAGGACUUUUACUGUGAAAAAAUUAGAGUGUUCAAAGCAGGCAGUCGCUUGGAUACAUUAGCAUGGAAUAAUGGAAUAGGACAAUGGUUCUAUUUGUUGGUUUCUAGGACCGUUGUAAUGAUUAAUAGGGAUAGUUGAGGGCAUUAGUAUUCAAUUGUCAGAGGUGAAAUUCUUGGAUUUAUUGAAGACUAACUACUGCGAAAGCAUUUGCCAAGGAUGUUUUCAUUAAUCAAGAACGAAAGUUAGGGGAUCGAAGACGAUCAGAUACCGUCGUAGUCUUAACCAUAAACUAUGCCGACUAGGAAUCGGGCGAUGUUGACAAAAUGACGCGCUCGGCA